AAAGAUAGAUGCUGCAGAUGACUGAGAACUAGGAGCAGAUACACCAAAGGUGGAUGUUGAAGCUGGCUGAGAAUUAGAGGCAGACUCGCCAAAGAUAAAUGCUGCAGAUGAAUGAGAACUAAGAGCAUUUACACCAAAUGUAGAUGUUGAAGCUGGUUGAGAAUGAGAGGCAGACACACCAAAGACAGAUACAGCAGAUGACUGAGAACUGGGAGCAGAUACACCAGAGAUGGAUGUUGCAGCUGGCAGAGAAUUAGAGGAAGACACGCUAAAGAUAGGUACUGCAGAUGAUUGAGAAAUAGGGGCAGAUACACCAAAGGUGGAUGUUGAAGAUGACUGAGAAUUAGAGGCAGACACAUCAAAGAUAGAUGCUGCAGAUGAUUGAGAACUAGGAGCAGAUACGCCAAAGGUGGAUGUUGCAGUUGGCUGAGAAGUAGUAGAUACACCAAAGGUGAAUGUCGCAGCUGACUGAGAAUUAGUAGCAGAUGCACCAAAGGUGGGUGCUGCAGCUUCUGCUUUUGCUGACUGAAAACCAUAAACAGAGCCUGUAUCAACGAUGGGUAUGGUUGUUUGAGAACUAGAAUUAAGAGCAUUGGCACCAAAAGAUAAUGAAGAACUCUGUCCAGAACCCAAAUUCGAGUCAAAA
rnacentral:lncRNA from 1 species